CUCGCCCUCUGCUGGGGGUGCUGGGACUGGAUUCCUACAGCCUUCUGGGGAAGACAUCUGCAAUAGCAAGUUUCAAAAUACACGCCCUCAGUGACCCAGUGACCUCGCCCUCGUGCUGACCCCACAAGAGAAAGGGCCACGCCCUGCGGGCCUGUGCACACAUGCUCCUUGGCUUGCCUCGUGUGCUCCUUUCCCGGCACCAACUGAGGCAGCAAGACACAACCGGAACAUCCAGCAAAUAGAAAGAUAAAACUCUUUAAGAGAGACCUGGUCAAACUGUCAGACGCAUUUUCUGGAAUAUGUGGCCUGACAAGCGGUGUUAGGUCUGCACCUGGGAUCCGAACCUGUGAACCCCAGGACGCCAAAGUGGAGUGCCUGAACUUAACCACUACACCACCAGGCCAAGAGAUGGGACACAGCCAUGGCAGGCUGAGGAGUCCCCACCCUGCAGACCUCCGCCCCUUACACUGGUGCUCCCAGGGAGCACGACGAGGGGUGUGAACUGAGGAGGAGAGGCCAGCUGGCUUCCUGCUCCCACACUCUGAGGCCAGGCAGCUACAGAUCGCAGCCUACCGAACCAAUGGAAGUCAGCAGCUCCAUAUCCACCUGUGGUCCUGAAGACGACCCCCACAAGAGUCCUGACCUCGCUUUCAAAUGGAGGGAAAGGGGGUCCAGGCAGGGGCGACACACCCACACUCCACAGCUUCCAAGCAAUGGUCAAGACCUGAACUCGAGUCCCAGACCCCACAUCCGUGCCCUCGAAGCCCCAGAGAAGAGCAGCCCUCCAUUAUCAUCUCUGAUGGAGAGGAAUUGCCCUUGAGCCAGA
rnacentral:lncRNA from 1 species